GACGAACGCUGGCGGCGUGCUUAACACAUGCAAGUCGAACGGAAAGGCCCUGCUUUUGUGUGGUGCUCGAGUGGCGAACGUGUGAGUAACACGUGAGUAUCCUGCCCUUGACUUUGUGAUAACUUCAGGAAACUGGUGCUAAUACCUGAUAGGAGCUCCUGCUGCAUGGUGGGGUUUGGAAAGUUUCGGCGGUUGGGGAUCGACUCGCGGCUUAUCAGCUUGUUGGUGGGGUAGUGGCUUACCCAGGCUUUGACGGGUAGCCGGCCUGGGAGGGUGAACGGCGACAAGGGGACUGAGAUACGGACCAGACUGGUACGGGAGGCAGCAGGGGGGAAUAUUGCACAAUGGGCGGAAGCGUGAUGAAGAAACGCCGCGAGUGGGAAGACGGCCAACGGGGGGUAAACCGCAGUAGGCUGUGACGAAGCGGGAGUGACGGUAAUGGGUAAAGAAGCACCGGCUAACUACGUG
rnacentral:rRNA from 1 species